UGUUCGACGGAACCUGUUCGACGAGGGCCCGAUGACGCAACCUGCAGGCGACCCUUCGAGAUCCUCUCUAGGUCGAUUCAUUUCGAGGCGACGAGGAAACUCCUAAAAGAGUGAUCGAAGCUGGUGCAAAGGAGCAGUGACCGAUUUCGCAGUGGGGGACAGUGAGACGCGAGAAAGUUCAGUGACCAUAAGGGAUAUUAGUGCCAACCCUGACGAGGAACGAAAGUGCUACCGUCCCGUGGCUAUCGGAUUGCUCGUGUACGAAAAUAGUCGUGAAUAUCGGCCCUGAGAUCGUGCCUGAACAAACCGGAGUGACAUCUUCGUGGCGCUCGCGAAACGCCCUCGAGGUGAACGUUCCCUGGAUGCUCGUUAAGAGCCACGGGGACUCGAGCUCAGGUUCCGUUGGAAACGACCCCAAAACGGACGCUGCGCGGCGAAGAUACUCCUGUUCCCUCGAGGACGAGCCCGUUCGGUGGCCGUCCGUCUUUCCGAAAUACCUACAGUCCGCUGUUGGAUAUUUUCGUCGGCCCAUUACG